AACGAACGCUGGCGGCAGGCUUAACACAUGCAAGUCGAACGCAUGCCUUCGGGCAUGAGUGGCAGACGGGUGAGUAACGCGUGGGAACCUACCCCUUGGUACGGGAUAGCUCCGGGAAACUGGAGAUAAUACCGUAUGUGUCCUGAGGGACAAAGAUUCAUCGCCAAGGGAUGGGCCCGCGUCGGAUUAGCUAGUUGGUGGGGUAACGGCCUACCAAGGCGACGAUCCGUAGCUGGUCUAAGGGGAUGAUCAGCUACAUUGGGACUGAGACACGGCCCAAACUCCUACGGGAGGCAGCAGUGGGGAAUAUUGGACAAUGGGCGCAAGCCUGAUCCAGCCAUGCCGCGUGAGUGAUGAAGGCCCUAGGGUUGUAAAGCUCUUUCACCGGUGACGAUAAUGACGGUAACCGGAGAAGAAGCCCCGGCUAACUUCG
rnacentral:rRNA from 1 species